GAUGAACGCUAGCGGCAGGCCUAAUACAUGCAAGUCGAACGGUGUCUUCGGACAUAGUGGCGCACGGGUGCGUAACACGUAUGCAACCUACCUUACAUUGGGGGAUAGCCUUUCGAAAGGGAGAUUAAUACCGCAUAAGACAGUAGCUGGGCAUCCAGCAGCUGUUAAAGAUUUAUCGAUGUAAGCUGGGCAUGCGUCCAAUUAGCUAGUUGGUGAGGUAACGGCUCACCAAGGCUAUGAUUGGUAGGGGAACUGAGAGGUCAAUCCCCCACACUGGCCCUGAGAUACGAGCCAGACUCCUACGGGAGGCAGCAGUAGGGAAUAUUGGGCAAUGGACGCAAGUCUGACCCAGCCAUGCCGCGUGCAGGAUGAAGGCGUUAUGCGUUGUAAACUGCUUUUAUACAGGAAGAAACGACUCUUGCGAGAGGCAUUGACGGUACUGUAUGAAUAAGCACCGGCUAACUCCGUGCCAGCAGCCGCCGUAACAC
rnacentral:rRNA from 1 species